CUGGGACUUCAGGCAAACACAAAGCCACAAAACAAAAUAGUCAAAAAUUAUAAUUUCCUUCUUCAGUCACCUCCAUCACCUUCAGCAUCCCACAAUGAAAGCUCCCAAAUCAAGAUAGCACAGCUGAACACAUUAAUUAUGAAGACAUCAUUUGUUAACAAUGUGCUACUGGGAUAUUUACAAAUGCAUUGAUCUGCGAGGCAUUGAAGGGGAAGAAAAGGUUCAAGAAGAAAUAAGGAGGAAGAAAAAGCACCAAGGAGAGCUGCAGCACUUAAAAGGGAGUUUGUGAAGGCUGAAUGGUUCCUCCUCAGGAAAAAAGAAGAAACACAUCUCCUGAGUUAUCUGCAGGAGUCAGGAGCGUCGUGUUCUGCGCAGAAACACUGCCUUCAAAGCUCUGAAGCCAUUUAGGUAACACACAGCACCUUCAUUUGAAGGUUUCCAGAUUAUUCUGUGCGAGCAGUUUCUCAUGGAGAAGAUAUGUGCC